CGAGGGCCAGACAGUCCACAAAUACCUAUCAGGCGAUAGGCAUUUAAUCUGUAAUUGAAGGUAAACAAAAUUGGAGUCCAGUUUAGGCGGAAAGAAAAACGUCUUACAAAACUCCAAACGACCAAAUGUGCCUCUGAGACCGUGUGUGAGCGCCUGCCGG
rnacentral:lncRNA from 1 species